ACGGAGGGUGCAAGCGUUAAUCGGAAUUACUGGGCGUAAAGCGCACGUAGGCUGUAGUGUAAGUCAGGGGUGAAAUCCCACGGCUCAACCGUGGAACUGCCUUUGAUACUGCACAACUUGAAUCCGGGAGAGGGUGGCGGAAUUCCAGGUGUAGGAGUGAAAUCCGUAGAUAUGCGGAGGAACACCGAUGGCGAAGGCAACCACCUGGACCGGUACUGACGCUCAUGCGCGAAAGCGUGGGGAGCAAACAG
rnacentral:rRNA from 1 species